rnacentral:rRNA from 1 species
UACAGAGGUCUCAAGCGUUUGUUCGGAUUCAUUGGGCGUAAAGGGUGCGUAGGUGGCGGGGUUAGUCAGGUGUGAAAUCUCGGGGCUCAACCCCGAAACUGCACUUGAUACUGCCUUGCUCGAGUACUGGAGAGGAGAUUGGAAUUUACGGUGUAGCAGUGAAAUGCGUAGAUAUCGUAAGGAAGACCAGUGGCGAAGGCGAAUCUCUGGACAGUUACUAACACUGAGGCACGAAGGCCAGGGGGAGCAAACGGGG